rnacentral:rRNA from 1 species
UACGAAGGGGGCUAGCGUUGCUCGGAAUUACUGGGCGUAAAGCGCACGUAGGCGGACCUGCAAGUCGGGGGUGAAAGCCCGAGGCUCAACCUCGGAACUGCCUUCGAUACUGCGGGUCUCGAGUCCGGGAGAGGUGAGUGGAAUUCCUAGUGUAGAGGUGAAAUUCGUAGAUAUUAGGAAGAACACCAGUGGCGAAGGCGGCUCACUGGCCCGGUACUGACGCUGAGGCGCGAAAGCGUGGGGAGCAAACAGG